UUACUUUUGAACAGUAGGCUAGUUUCUACACACUCGACGUUCUUCAUCCACGCAAGCAAGAAGUGCUAUCUAAGUUCAGCCAAGCAAAACCACACACGGCUAAUGAGAGAAGAAGGACUGUGGUCCGGGGACUGUCCUGAGGGGCCUGAAAGCCCACAUUUGGCCCCCGGGCCUGCUAUACUGUGAAGUUUUCAAUGCGUACUCUCAGGCUGCUCCUAAUCACAUUUAUGCAGAACAUCCCACUCUUGCUGUUUGUCCCCAGGUGGUUCACUCUUGACGAAUGCAAACUCAGGUGAUGACUUGCAUGUGUGAUUGGCCCACUGCGCCGCGCAAUCCUAAACACGCUGGCUCAUAACUUUUCCCCUUAAGCCCCACACUGGGUUCUAGAGGGGACCUGUUGCUUCCCCUUAAAGCGCGCGCCAGGAAAAAAAACAAGGACUACCGCCCAGAGCUUUCCAGCAAGCAGCCAGCUUUGCAGAGCCUCCUACCUGAAUCCUCGUGGAGCUGCUGGGGAGCUGCAGCAGGGAGAUUUCCUGCAGGAGCCGCGGCCAGCAGCAGCAGCAGCAGCAGCAGCAGCAGGCGACUCUUCCUCCGGUGGCUGCAGCCUCCGUGCAUCCUGACUGCAGCCUCGCACUGGGCGCGGAGCGAGGCGGGAUCAGGGGCUCCAGCGGGAUCAUGUCCCGUGGUUCAGCCAUCCGCAGUAAGGAUCUCGAGAGGCAACACAAGACCUGUGGCGAGACGAAAUUAAUCUUUGUACCAUUUCCGAACCCUUGGUGUUUUCCAUUGUAUGGACAUUUUUGGAAAGAGGGGGCUUACUUUUUGCACGACCCAUGGCGCUCACAACGGCUGAGUGGAAUUCUAAUGACACAGCUGGAGAACGCAACAAAUAAACCAUGAUGCUCUUUGUCCA